GUGGACUAGUUUAUUGGUGUUGUCUGCUUCUAACACUAAUCGUCGGACAAUUCGGAAUUACCUCGGGGUUUUACAUUCCUCGGUUGAAAACAUCGGGACCUCGCAGGGAACUCGACAUAGCGGCACUUCGCUCUCGAUUUCAUGGGUCUUCUGAUAUGCGCUGGAAUAAGAGAAAUGGAUUAUACGGAACAUUUAUGGACUCUGUCAGCAGACAUGCUUCGUCCUUCGAUAGUAAAGAGGCAUUUUUUGAACGACUUUUUGAAUUAUUUGAUAUUAAUGAAAAUGGAUGCAUCGACAGGUUGGAAUUUGAAGUAAUUUUGGACAUUCUAGUCAUAUUUCAAUAACGGAAGCUUACGGGAUGGGAAACAGGUCGACGGAUACAUGCAUUUUUCCAUAAAACACGUCCUUCAAAAAUGGUUAACUCCCGGGAAACAGAAGACCUUGACCUCCAAAUUUACAUCAAUAUAACGCAACUUAGGAGAAGCAUGCAUCGAAAUUUGUUACGUACCCUACAUAAAAGCAUCAAGUCCAAAUAGGACCCGUGAACGGUGCCAGUGCGACGAGGCUACCCUCCCUUCUCGACUGCAUGUGCGUGGAUGCCAAGAUAACCGAAGACGUCAUUCGACAGGAAAGGAAUACGUUUUUGAAAAUUGGUAAAAAUAAGAACAAUUACAAAGGUUCAAAGAGCUUGUUAUUUUUAAUCGACAUGAUCCUCCGGCACUUGAGAAAAUGGAUGUAUCCCAAUACAUCCAGGGCAGGCCAGACUGUACAUGUAUCGGACGUUAGGUAGGAACGAACUCUGAUGAAAUGAGAACAAACCAUUGGCAAACACAAAUUUCUAAUACAAUAUAUCAUGUCAUAAUGACACGAGAUAACAUGUCAUAAUGACACGAGAUAACGUGCCUUUAUGACACGAGAUAGCAUGCCGCAAUGACACGAGAUAACGUGCCUUUAUGACACGAGAUAGCAUGUCGUAAUGACACGAGAUAACGUGCCUUUAUGAAACGAGAUAGCAUGUCAUAAUGACACGAUAUAACAUGUCAUAAUGGCACGAGAUAACAUGUCAUAAUGGCACGAGAAAACAUGUCAAAAUGGCAUGAGAUAAUAUGAUAUAAUGGCACGAGAUAACAUGUCAAAAUGGCACGAGAUAACAUGUCAUAAUGGCACGAGAUAACAUGUCAAAAUGGCACGAGAUAACAUGCCUUAUUGGCACGGGAUAACAUGUUUUAAUAGCACGAAAUAACAUGGUAUAAUAGCACAAUAUAGCGUGUCAUAAUGACACGUAGGAGAAGUGUGGGAUCGGUGUUGAAAAGGUAUUGAUGUGUUUAUGGAGUAAAACCUUCAUUUUACUGAGUGACUGACUGAGCUUGGCGUCGUAUGAUCAGAUGAGUGGUGUACAAGUGCUAAUACUUUGUUCUAAAUUCACAUAUUUUAUGGAUGAUUUCUCGGAAUCAAUAUGAUACUAUUUUACUCAUUUUUUAUUAUACUAUUUGUUUAGCAGAACUAAAUCUUAUUAAUGCAUGAAAUUUGUCUAUGUGAACCAACUUUUUCAAAUUU
rnacentral:lncRNA from 1 species